rnacentral:rRNA from 1 species
UACGGGGGGAGCAAGCGUUGUUCGGAUUUACUGGGCGUAAAGGGCGCGUAGGCGGUCAGCACAAGUCAGUUGUGAAAUCUCCGGGCUUAACUCGGAAAGGUCAACUGAUACUGUGCGACUAGAGUGCAGAAGGGGCAACUGGAAUUCUCGGUGUAGCGGUGAAAUGCGUAGAUAUCGAGAGGAACACCUGCGGCGAAGGCGGCUCUCUGGACCACAACUGACGCUGAGGCGCGAAAGCUAGGGGAGCAAACAGG